rnacentral:lncRNA from 1 species
AAAACAAUAAACUUCCCUGCAAAAGCAGCACUUUUGGGACAUUUUUAACUUCAGUAUUUCUUUCCUUCUUCACCCUCUUCUUUAACAGAAGCCAUACCGACCUUCUCAUAAUUCUCAAGGGCAGCCAUGUUAUCAUGGGCCUCAGAAAACUCUCCAUCCUCCAUGCCCUUGCCUAUAUACCAGUAAACAAAGGCAUACUUGUCAUACAUCACGUCAAACUUGUGGUCCAGGUGAACCCAGGACUCAGCAAUGGCUGUGGUGUUACUCAGCAUGUACAGUUUGCUGUACUUCGGCCAGUUCUCCACCAGGUACCACAGUGGGAGGCUGGUAAUUAAUACCAACUUUGAAGCCAGUGGAGCACCAAUCCAUAUACUGGAUUAUACAGUUGGUCUUGAUGGUGGCAAUGGCAUCACUGACAUCUUUUGGAAUCAUGUCACCACAGAACAGCAGGCAGCAAGCCAUGUAUUUACCAUGGCAAGGGUCACAUUUCAUCAUCUGGUUGGCUGGCUCAAAUCAUGCAUUAGUGAUCUUUGCUACAGAAAGUUGUUCAUGGUAGGUUUUAUCAGCAGAGGUGACAGGAUCAUGUGUGGCCAGAGGGAAUUGGA